GAUAAACGCUGGCGGUGUACAUAAGACAUGCAAGUCGAACGGGAGAAGACAGGAAGAUUUAUCUACUUGUUGGACACCGUGCGGACGGGUGAGUAACACGUAAGCAACCUGCCUAUAAGAGGGGAAUAACAGUGAGAAAUUACUGAUAAUACCGCAUAAGCUGGGGGUAUCGCAUGAUACAUUCAGAAAAGAUUUAUCGCUUAUAGAUGGGCUUGCGUCUGAUUAGCUAGUUGGUGAGAUAACAGCUCACCAAGGCGACGAUCAGUAGCCGGAUUGAAGGUUGACGGCCACAUUGGGACUGAGACCGGCCCAGACUCCUACGGGAGGCAGCAGUCGGGAAUAUUGCCAAUGGAGGAAACUCUGAUGCAGUGACACCGCGUAUAGGAAGAAGGUCUUAGGAUUGUAAGCUAUUGUCGUGUGAGAAGAAAAUGACCAUCACAGGAGGAAGCCC
rnacentral:rRNA from 1 species